AACGCGAAGAACCUUACCGGGGCUUGACAUCCUGCGCUAUCCUAGGAGACUAGGUUUCCGGGCAACCGGACGCAGAGACAGGUGCUGCAUGGCUGUCGUCAGCUAGUGCCGUGAGGUGUUGGGUUAAGUCCCGCAACGAGCGCAACCCUUAUCGUUAGUUGCCAGCGGGUCAAGCCGGGCACUCUAGCGAAACCGCCUCGGAUAACGGGGAGGAAGGUGGGGAUGACGUCAAGUCCUCAUGGCCUUUAUGUCCAGGGCUACACACGUGCUACAAUGGUCGGUACAAACCGUCGCAAACCCGCGAGGGGGAGCUAAUCGGAAAAAGCCGACCUCAGUUCGGAUUGGAGUCUGCAACUCGACUCCAUGAAGCUGGAAUCGCUAGUAAUCGCAGAUCAGCACGCUGCGGUGAAUACGUUCCCGGGCCUUGUACACACCGACUGUAC
rnacentral:rRNA from 1 species